CCUACGGGAGGCAGCAGUGAGGAAUAUUGGUCAAUGGACGAGAGUCUGAACCAGCCAAGUAGCGUGAAGGAUGACUGCCCUAUGGGUUGUAAACCUCUUUUAUAAGGGAAUAAAACGAGGCACGUGUGCCUUUUUGCAUGUACUUUAUGAAUAAGGAUCGGCUAACUCCGGGCCCGCAGCCGCGGUAAUACGGAGGAUCCGGCGGUUAUCCGGGUUUAUUGGGUUUAAAGGGAGCGUAGAUGGGUUGUUAAGUCAGUGGUGAAAGUGUGGGGCUCAACCGUAAAAUUGCAAUUGAAACUGGCAGUCUUGAGUACAGUUGAGGUAAGCGGAAUGCGUGGUGUAGCGGUGAAAUGCUUAGAUAUCACGCAGAACCCCGAUUGCGAAGGCAGCUUACUAGCCUGUGACUGACAUUGAUGCACGAAAGUGUGGGUAUCGAACAGGAUUAGAUACCCCGGUAGUC
rnacentral:rRNA from 1 species